GCCUGAGCGCACAAUCCACUACAACAAGGAUUGAAAC
rnacentral:other from 1 species